rnacentral:rRNA from 1 species
CCUACGGGAGGCAGCAGUGAGGAAUAUUGGUCAAUGGACGAGAGUCUGAACCAGCCAAGUAGCGUGAAGGAUGACUGCCCUAUGGGUUGUAAACUUCUUUUAUAUGGGAAUAAAAUGUUCCACGUGUGGGAUUUUGUAUGUACCAUAUGAAUAAGGAUCGGCUAACUCCGUGCCAGCAGCCGCGGUAAUACGGAGGAUCCGAGUGUUAUCCGGAUUUAUUGGGUUUAAAGGGUGCGCAGGCGGGUCAUUAAGCCGGCGGUGAAAUCGCGGGGCUCAACCCCGAAGAGCCGUCGGAACUGGGGGACUUGAGUGCGGCUGAGGUAGGCGGAAUGCGCGGUGUAGCGGUGAAAUGCAUAGAGAUCGCGCAGAACCCCGAUUGCGAAGGCAGCGUGCCGAGCUGCCACUGACGCUGAGGCACGAAAGCGUGGGGAUCGAACAGGAUUAGAUACCCGGGUAGUC